GACGAACGCUGGCGGCGUGCUUAACACAUGCAAGUCGAGCGGAGCGGCGAACGGGUGAGUAAAGCGUGAGUAACUGCCCCCCUCUCUGGGAUAACAGUUGGGAACGGCUGCUCAUACCGGAUAGUGGGGGAUGACUCGUGUCCUAUCAGCUUGUUGGGGGGGUAGUGGCCUACCAAGGCGACGACGGGUAGACGGCCUGAGAGGGCGACCGGCCACAUUGGCCUGAGAUACGGCACAAACGCCGACGUGAGGCAGCAGGGGGGAAUAUUGCACCAUGGAGGAAACCCUGAUGCAGCAGCGCCGCGGGCGGGAUGACCGCCUUCGGUUUGUAAACCGCUUUCAGCCAUGACGCGGUAGUGGCAGAAGAAGCACCGGCUAACUACGUGCCAGCAGCCGCGGUAAUUC
rnacentral:rRNA from 1 species